rnacentral:rRNA from 1 species
CCUACGGGAGGCAGCAGUGAGGAAUAUUGGUCAAUGGACGAGAGUCUGAACCAGCCAAGUAGCGUGAAGGAUGACUGCCCUAUGGGUUGUAAACUUCUUUUAUAUGGGAAUAAAAUGUUCCACGUGUGGGAUUUUGUAUGUACCAUAUGCAUAAGGAUCGGCUAACUCCGUGCCAGCAGCCGCGGUAAUACGGAGGAUCCGAGCGUUAUCCGGAUUUAUUGGGUUUAAAGGGAGCGUAGGUGGAUUGUUAAGUCAGUUGUGAAAGUUUGCGGCUCAACCGUAACAUUGCAGUUGAAACUGGCAGUCUUGAGUACAGUAGAGGUGGGCGGAAUUCGUGGUGUAGCGGUGAAAUGCUUAGAUAUCACGAAGAACUCCGAUUGCGAAGGCAGUUCACUGGACUGCAACUGACACUGAGGCUCGAAAGUGUGGGUAUCAAACAGGAUUAGAUACCCCGGUAGUC